GCUUUCCUCGGCGGCGAGCUCGCAGCAGACGCGAUGCCACUCUCCUCUGUUUCUCUCUUCCUUCUCGGCGUGGGUGGAUAGCAGGACGGCGAGCAAGACGCGGCUGGGUGUGACGGAGUGCGGUGGCAGUGCAAGGCAAGGCAUC